rnacentral:lncRNA from 1 species
GUUGCCUUGUUAUAGAUACCAUCUCUUCCAGAUCUCCCAUUCCUUUCUCCAGCAUCCUUACUUGAUGUCGAAUCCUUAUGAUUUCCUCAUUCAAAAACACAUUGGUGUCUUGUGAGUUUGGAUCAUAAGUAUUCUUCCAAGUCUUUUGGAAGGAGCUUGCAGUAAAUGGUUGGAUGUGAACUAUUAGUGGAUUGGGAGAGAGACAGAUUUCAAAGUACUCUGGACCGAGGAUUUUGGAGAGCAUCCUUGGGUAGUGACGUGCUCCAGUACUCCUUGUUGAUGUUGUCAUGUUAUGCAUGAUUAAGG